rnacentral:lncRNA from 1 species
UGAGAAAGACUUGGCUCUAAUCGAUCAGUUAAGUCCAUGAGGUUCUUACUGGUAAAUGUGAAUGCUUUAUCCAAAAUAUCUUCUCCAGGAACAGAUAGGUGGCAUGCUUCAUACAAACUCAACAUUCCUUUGGCGUCUCCAAUCAAACUUACUUCGAAACUACCUUUCUCGUCCAUGAAUCUGCAAAAUACAUCUGGGAGCACAAAUUUAUCUAUAUUAAAUCUUCUACAAAAGUGUCUUUUAUAUGCCUUCCAAAUUCAGUUCAAUUCCUCUUCUUCCACCAAGAGAGCCACUAGGAAAUCAUAUCUGAUUCACUUAUGACAUUUGAAAAAUGUAGGUAAAUGAUAGCCCUGUGAGAACCAAUUCUACAUUUGGUACUAGAGAAAAAAUACCUACUUAGGAGGAAUUUUAUGACUUGGACUUUUCCAAAAUCAUUUUUUAUUCACCUUAUGAGUAUUCUUUUUUGGGCGAAAAGAUUGAUUUUGAUCUCUUAAACAUCUAGUGUGCUUAUCCCUUAAAUGGACAGCCCAAAGUCCAUCUUGGAGGAGGAGUUAUACCUUAGAGAAGAACAAAGAAAAUAUGAGCAUCAUAGUAACCAUGAAAUCUUUUUCCUUUAGAAAAUGUCUUUUUUAACAAUGUAAACAACAAAUUCAGUCCAAAUAAUUCUGCGAUUUGGUAUGUGAUUCAUAAAUACCUUUCAAAAAUCCAACCUAUUUCAAAAACUGUUCAAGUUGGUCCAUUUUACAUAAAAUUUUAUUUUGUUUUGGAUUUAAAUUCCAACCAUAUUUGUUACUCUUAUUUACUAAUAACUUUUGCUUGAGCUCAUAUAUAAAGUUUCAAUAGAUACUCUAAUUUCUAGAAGAAAAGAGGAAGAGGGAAGUCAGGCCCUAAUCUAUAUGAAUACAAUUUUGUGCUACAAACCUGAUGACAUCCGGUAUCCAUGUUGUCUAAGCAGUCGAAAUGCAAGGGAUGUUGCAUAGAGAUCAUCACUCCAUGACUGUUGGAUAUCAGCAUUGGAGUAAAUAGUGUCCAAAGCCACUUUGAUAUCCUGCUCAAAGUGAUACCCCACUCCCAGCCUUUGGAUUGAGUCAAUGAGCUCAAGUGGGGCGAUUGGCUCGGUUUUCCUCCUUAAAAGAGCCUUGAAUUGUUUCUUUAGAGCUUCAGUUCGGCUUAUAUAUUCCUCUUCCUGCAUCUAAGAAACUCUUAAUCCAAUUGGAAAAUGGAGGGAAGGUAUUUUUUGAACCUAAUGAUGACAAUGUUUUCGUAGUGAAAGAUUGCAUAAAUUAAUGCCCCGUAUAAACUGCUGCAUAGCAAUGCCCUAUAUUUUCUAAAAUUAACAUAAUUAUAUUGUUAGCUGUUUGAAAUGUACCUUGUAUUAUGUAUAAUUUCAUUUUACUAUUUAACUUGUUUUGUUUUGUUAUGAUUUCCAGAUAUUUUCAGCUAUUUCAUAAAAAAACAUGUGAAUAUCAGCAAAUUACAUUUAAUAAAUAAAAAUUAGUUUUAAAAAGGAUCAAUUUAUAAAUUAAGGAAAAGUUUAUCUAUGUUAAAAGCAUGGUUCUUAGACUCAACCGAGUCGACUCGGCCUCGCUUAUUGCCGAGGUCGACUAGGGCCGGGUCUUUGGUACAAGUGAUUUUUUACCUCUUGAAUGAACAUUGCUCGGAGUAAUUUUGCGAGACUCAGCUCGAAAUGGAGAAACUCGCUCUAGUAUGGCGUUUUCACGGAUAAAACUCGGAUGUCAAAAUAUGGAAAGUUUCUUGAACUGAAAAUUUGAAAUUUUGGACUGAUUUUGAUGGAUUUUUUUGGAACCUAGUUGUGUUUUAACAACCAUCUAAUCUCUAUGAUACAAUUUGGGUCCAUAAAAAUCCAAAUCGAAUAAGAUUUCAUCACGAAAUUCUAGGGUUCUUUGAGCAGUAAUAUAUAAUCCGCCAAACUCCUAUAGUCUCUAUGAUUUCUCCCCCAAAUUGAUUGAUUAUCGGUAUUUUUUUAAUAUAUUAAAAUUAUCUACAAAAUCCAUAUACUAAUUCGCAAAUCUACUAAGCUCCCUCAUCGUAAAUUUUCAGUUUGAGGGUUCUUUGUGCUAAAAGUAAUAAUUUCAGCAAAACCUCUCUAUUCUCGCUGAUUUCUACACCAAAUUGGAUGAUUUUUUGUUCGUUUUGAACGUGUUAAAAUAAGCUUCAAACAACCUCUCCAUAUCUGUGGUCCUUUUCACCAUUAUUGACUGAUUUCGUACAUUAAAGGGGUAUCGAUGAACUGCCAAAAAAAUCGCAAAUCUAUUAUUUCUGUCUAAUUACUCGAAAAUGUUUUACUGAUUUUUAGUUCUUUUUAAAGCUUUUAAAAUCAUCUUCAAAACCCCCUCAACAGAUCAGUGGUUUUUCUUUCCAAUAUCGACUGAUUUUGUAUAUCAAAGAGGUAAUAUUUAUGAACUAUUAAAAAAUUACAAAAUCUAUUAUUUCUCUGCAAUUUCUCAACAAUAAUUUCCUGAUCAUUAGAUUUUUUUUUUUUUUUUUUUUUUUAAGAUAUUCAAAUAAACUUGAAAGCCCCCGUAUUAGUUUGCAUUUAUUUGCUCGAAUAUCAAUUAAUUUAGUGCACCAUAGAGGUAAAAUUGACGAACUGUAAAAAUUCUACUAAAUAUGUUGUUUCUCCCUAAUUACUCAAUAAUUGUUUCUAAUUUUUUAUCCCUAAUUACUCAAUAAUUGUUUCUAAUUUUUUAUUCUUUUCAAACCUAUUCGUAUCAGCUACAAAAUCCCUCUAUAGAUUCAUGGGUUUUUUGCUCUAAUAUCGACUGAUUUUGUUCAUCAAAGAGGUAAUAUCGAUGAACUUUCAAAAAUUCGUAAAAUAUAUUAUUUCUAUCUAAUUUCUCAAAUUUUUUUUUUUUUAUUAGAUUGUUUUAAGCUAUUGAAAUAAACCUAAAAACCCCUCUACUGAUUUGCAUUUUCUGCUCUAAUAUUGAUUGAUUUAGUGCAUCAUAGAGGUAAUAUCGGUGAAAUGUAAAAAUUAUGCUAAAAUUAGUUGUUUCUCUAUAAUUACUCAUCAAUUUUUUCUGGUUUUUAUUUUUUUAAAUCCCUUUAUUGAUUAGUGAUUUUUUUCUGAGAAAUUGUCUUAUAUCGAUCAAUUUUCCUUUUUGGUACAAAAAUUGUCUUUUAUCAAUGAAUUUUUCUUCUUCUAUUUUUUUUUUUUUCCCAACCAUUUUCAAAUAUUCAAAAUUUUUUAUUUUUUAUUUUUUAUUUUUGAAAUACCAAAACAGGACAUUGAAAAAAACUACUAUGAUAAUUUUUGUAGUAUUAAUCAUACAUUUUGUAGGUGAAAAAGACUUUUUUUUUAAUUAAUUUGUAUUAUUAACCUUAAAUAUAAGAAUUCCUGAGUAAUACAAACCCAAAUUUGUAACUCUAAGUAAUAUAGACCUUAUUUUGGAAGCAAUUACAACAAAUAUAUUUCAUUAUAAAUAAUUUUUGAAAGAAAUUUCAGCCUUUAAUAGGUCUAAGAGAUUAUGUGGGAGGAUUGAUUUUGGCACUAUGACAAUAAGGGGAAGGGGUGGGUCAAGUGUAAUUUUUGUGGAAGGGAGAUGAUAGGUGCAUUAAUCACCAGAAGCCUCACCUUGCUAAAAUUCAAGAGUUAUAAUAAUAAUAAUAAGAAAAAAGAGUUCCAAAAAAAAAGUAGCAAUUAUGAAAAAAGGGGGGGUCGUUUUUUACAAUUCACGACAUGUAAGAAAUUUUUUUAAAAAAUAGUUAAUAUAUGAGAUCCAAAAUAAAAAACUUUGCCCCCCAUUUGAACUCAAGACCUCUCAUCGACUCACCUAUAUGGUUUUUUUUAGUUUAUAGAUUUAUGGAAAAAGAGCUCCAAAAUAAACCCAAGCCAUUAAAAAAAGGGUAUUGUUGGCAUACGGAUGCAUCCGUAGCUGUAGAGGUGAGGUGCACCUUCAAAUUUUAUCAUGGUAUAUAAUUUUGAUGUAAAAUGUCCUUAGGAUUAUCUCAAAACCUAUUUUUAUAUCUAAUUAUAAAAUUUUAAAUUUAAAAAAUGGUUAAAAUCAAGUAGAUCUAUAAACAUAUGAAAAUCUAAAAAAUGAACGGUGCAGAUAAUAUGUUGUAAAAUGCACUAUUUCUUAUACUUAAAGUUUCCUGAUAGAUUUUUGAGGUGCAUCCGUAGUUCUACAUUAUAAGGUUUCAUCCUUAUAUAAACAUUUUUUUUUAAAAAAAUAGAGUUAAAAAAAUGUAGCCCCAAACAUAAGAUUUUUAUUAAAAUAUUUAUGAAAAAAAGAGCUCCAAAAUAAAUACAAGAGUUAAAAAUAUAUCUAUCCCCCCAUGGAAAUGGAACUCAUAAGCUCUUCACACAUAUAAAAAAAAAAACCAGCAUGUCACGUACAAGUAGGUUAACAACCACCAAGUUAAUGAAACUGGCACUAAUUAUACAUAUAUACAAAUCAUUCUCGUGAUUUUCUUUUGACUCACUCGAAUAAAUUGCCCCUGUCAGGACAUGAGUAUUUUGGCCGACUCGAUUUUUUGAUAUAUCCAAAAACUAAAAACUGAAAACUGUUUUGAACUUACUUUUGUAUCCUAUCUCACAAGUCAUGAGAGAUUAAGAAUAAGAAAGACUACUCGAAUACCAUGAAAACAUCAAUAAUAAUAAUCCUGCAUGAGCUCAAAUACCUUAAAAUCACUUCUUAUUGAUUGAAUACGAUCGGGAUCCCAAAUGGUAGGCAUGAAAUUCGCAGUUCGCCGGGCGAUUUCUGUUGCAGAGGACUCGGAGCUCAUAAAGCACCGUAAAAGCUGAGGAUAACCCGAUUGAAUCGUUUUGAGGCUUGUUUGUGUGCGCAACCAGGACAUUGUGGUGUGAAUCAAAGGCAGAAAUGGAACCAUUGUGAAAAUGGUUUAAUGAGAGAGAACGGGUGCUCUAAUUCUCUUUUCCCUAUAAAUGGAAUGUCGCCAUGGUCCCCUCUCAUCGCUUGUAAACAAUGACUUACAACUCAGUAGGGUCAACCCACUACAUGGGUCCUUGUGAAACCAAGUAAAUGGUCCAACUCGGGCCCCAUAAAUAAAUUUUUAAAAAAUUAUUAUUAUCAUCCGUGCUCUAUAUCAAUUAUCUAAGAUCAACUACCCGAAUCAUGUUCUACCAUUUUGCUUUAUUAUGGGUCAUAUUUUUAAUCAGUUCAUAAAUGUCACCGUAUCUCUUCUCAUAUGCUUUAUUUGAUUUUAUUUUUUCUUUUCAAUUUUAUAUUUUUCGAAAAUAUUUCUAACCAUAGAUAACUUUUACUAAAUUCAUAUUUCAUUCCUUUUCAAUUUUUGGCUUAUUGGGACUUUUAUGUUGUCUUUAGUUUUGUUCCACUUUACUAAUUUUCAUUUUAUUCUAAAAUGAUCUUUUCAUCGUUUAAUUUAGGGGACUUUGCCUGGUCUUGUAAAUGUUGAGUUACUCGCCUGAGACAGGACUGAGUCUGAAGCCAGGCAGCAAGCACAAUUUUUUUCAUGCACCCUAAGUUGUACAUACAACUCGAUACAACUCGGUAUGCUCAGACUCUCUGGAGUAACUUGUGCAAGUCUGAGUGGACUCGGGUGAUUAAUGGAACCAUGAUCUCAAGAAAUACCUUAAAAAUUCACUUCUUAUUGAUUGAAUACGUUCAAAAUCCCAAAUGGUGAGGAUGCUAUUCGUAGAUUGCCGAGCGAUCGCCAUUUCAGAGGCUUCUGAGCUCGUAUGACAUCAUAUAAAUGGCAGAUAAUGGGAUCGAGAUUUUUUUUCUUCUUGUUUUUGUGUGUUUUCAGGAGAAUGUGGUGUGAAAAAGGCGUACACAUACCACCAUUGAGAAAGAGAUUUAAUGAGAAAUGCCUUUUCCAUUUUUAUUUAUUUAUUUAAGGUGAAUCAAUUGGGAUGCUAGACCCCUACCCAUAAUGGGGUGCAGCACAAAGAGUUCCCAAAAGGGCACCCAUUGAGAAAGAGGUUUAAUGAGAAAUGAUUGAUGAUUGAUUCACGAUAUGGAACCAGGAGAGACUCCAUGAAUAUAUAAUACACCUGAUCAUCAUCAUCGUUAUCGUGAAUAUAGAAUAUACACGUUAAAAUUAUUUUAAUUUGACCUGCUUGAUGUUACUCAAUUCAAUUGCGUUGUGAUAUUAUUUUAGGCAGGUGAUACUCCGCUAUUCGUCAUGCAUCAGUUGUGACCGUAAACUGGCCUUUCUUCUUUCUCUCUUUUUCUCUUUCGUUUUUGAAUGAUAGCUUAUGUAACAGCGCUUAUCAAGAGAGACAGGGAGUGAAAGCAUUCUCUGAUUUUGCAAGUGCAUUUUCUUCAAAUGAUUCCAUGUUCGUGGGAGUGCGUAUUUGUUGGAUAUGGUGGUAUCUAAAAGUCACCAACAUAAGAAAAUUCCAAAUUGUGUGGGAUUAAGAUUGAUAUUGAUAAGUUUAAUGAAGUCCCAAAAAGGUAAGACUCUUGGGGUAUAUCUCUUGGUUUUGAGAUAUAUAUAACAUUUAUAUAAAUUUUCAUAUUUAGUAUGGAGUCCUAACCUUAUAUAUAUAUAUAUAUAUGGUAUGCAAGAGGGUGGGUCACCAAAUGGGAAAUGUGGUUUCUUCUAAAGAGAGAGAGGCAAUGGCCUUUCCCAUGCAUGGGGCAAGUCCCCCCCUUCAGAGAGAAGAGAGAAUUUUGUUGAUUUUCCUUUUAAAAAAGAGAAAGUGUCGGUUGCUCUCAAAGUUCUCUUUCUAAACAGUAGUUUAGUUGUAGAACAUAGAUGGAUCUAUUUCUAGAUCUGUUAAGUAACUUUCAUUGAUAUAGUGAAUUUCAAUUUGACGCGCUCAUGGACGCAACCCUUUUGGGGUAAACCGCUUAAAUCUUUAUCCUUUUUGGGGCGAACCACGUAAAUCUUUUUUUUUUUUUGAUGUUUGUUUUAUGCUUUAUUUUUCGUAUUAUGGCUCGCAUUCUCUCCUAUUUUGUUUCUAACUAGUUCUUGGUGGGAUCCAACUUUUGGGAUUCCAAUUUUCGCAUCUAAGAGGGUUCUUAAAUCCUAGUAUUUUCUUGGUUUGCUCGAUAGGGUAAAAAAAAACCAAUCAAGAGCAUUUUUAUGCCCCCAAAUUUUGUUAACUUAACUCUCUUGUACCUGGUGACCAACUUCAGGGAUAAUAAAACCAAAACACAAAAUCCAAUUGUGCUUGUGCCUAAAAAAUUUUAGCAUCUAGGAACUAGGUUUAAGUAUCUAGAAGCUAAGAAUUUAUUCUUUUUUUACUUUUCAAAAUAAUUAUCGAGUGAUUUUUAAUCGGCUUUCAAAAAUUUAAAUGCAGAAUUCCCUCCAAAGUAUCUCUUUGACCCGAGGGAAUAAGUAUAUAAUAUGCUCUUGGAAGAAUAGGUUGGUGAUGCCGAUUAAAACUUGGAUGCUAUAAAUUUUAUUUUUAUUUUUUAAUAAUUUUAUUUUUAGAGUUCGGGUAAAAUUCAUAUUUUUAUUUGUUAUGGUUAAUUAUUAAAAAUAAGAUUUUUUGAGUUAGUUUGAUAAGUAGUUUUUUAUUAGUCCGUUUUAUUUUAAGAUAAUAAGGUCCAAUUUCAUUUAGAAAAGUCAUCAGUAUUUUUAGUUGGGGAUUUAUUUAGAGACUUUUUUUAAAACAACAGAUAAAAACGAUUGUUUGGUACUAAGAGAAUGACGUAUCUCUUGGUGAGAUCGUCAUCUUUUUUUUAUAUAGGAAUUAUUUUUAGAAAGUUCCAUAGUGUGGCAAGGUUUCGUUUUUUUCAAGUUAGGUCCCUUUAUCAUGUUUUUCUUCCUAUUCAGGUAGAUUGACAAAAUGGAAUUUUUGUGGUAAAUAGUAGUUGUUCGUACGUGAUGAGACAGAGGUAAAUCCUAAUGUUUACAAUUCUACAAGAGAUAAGGAAGGAUAAGAAGGAUGAUCAUUGGGUGACGUACUGAUUUUUAUUAUGGAGAGGAUGGGCGUAAAUUGUAAAAGGCUAUUGAAUUUUAUGGAAUAAAGAAGUGUUUUUGGUAAAGAGAUGUCUUUUUGGGUAUCGUUUCUUCUCCUGUGUUUAUGGAUCGGUGUCGGAAUACUCGUAUCUGCACAUUUUGUACUUUUUUAUUGUGAUUUCCUUCACACACGGUUAUUUUUAUUGGUGGCGUUUGCCUAUAAAUUUUAAAGAAAAAGUUUAUAUAAGGGUGCUAUACAAGGGUGCGAUUCAUAUUUAUAUAAGGGUGCGAUUCAUAUUUAUUAAGGGUUGUAUUUUUAAUCAGUUCAUAAGUCACCGUAUUUUUUUUCAUAUGCUUUAUUUUAUAUUUCUCUAAAAUAUCACUUGCCAUAGAUAAUUUUUCUAAAAUUAUUUUUAUUUUUUAGUGUUUUGAAACUUUUAUGUUGUCUUUAGUUUUGUAAUUUUGUUCCAUUUUACUAUUUUUCAUUUUAUUCUAAGAGAAUUUUUUCAUCUUUUAAUUUAGGCCAUUUUGUCUGACCUUGCAAAUGUUGAGUUACUCGCCUCAAACAGGGCUGAGUCCAAAGUGAAGCAGCAAGAAUAUUUUUUUUAUGCAGCCUGAGUUAUACACACAACUCGGUAUACUCGGACUCUAUUGAGUAAUUUGUCAAAGUCUGAGUGGACUCGGGUGAGUAAUGGAACCGUGACCUCAAGAAAUUCCUUAAAAUCACUUUUUUUUUAAUAAGUAUGAUUCUAUUCCCAAAUGGUGGGGAUGUAAUUCGCAGAUCAUCAAAUGAUCACCGUUUCAGAGGUUUUUGAGCUCACAUGGCAUCGUACAAAUGGUGAAUAAUAUGAUCAGAAUUUUCUUUUUGGCUUGUCUGUGUGCGCACCGAGGAGAAUGUAGUGUGAAGAAGAUGUAGACCUAGUGCCAUUGAGAAGGAGAUUCAAUGAGAAAUGCUUCCCUUUUUUUCGUUUUUUCUUUAUUUUUGUGUGAAUCAAUAGGGAUGAUAGACCCUUACCCGUUAUUGGGUGCGACACAAAGACUUCCCAAUAGAGUCACCCAUUGCGAAAGAGGUUUAAUAAGAAAUGGUUGAUGAGUGUCUCAAUUGAUUCACGAUAGAAAGAGGUUUAAUGAGAAAUGGUUGAUGAGAGUCUCGAUUGAUUCACAGCAUGAAAUCAAGAGAGACUCCAUAAAUAUAUUAUAAUUAUCAUCAUCCUUAUCAUUAUCAUCAUCAUCAUGAAUAUAAAAUAUACACAUUACAAAUAUUUUAACUUCACCCGCUUGAUGUUACUUGAUUCCAUUGUGUGGUGAGAUUAUCUUUGGCAUGCGAUACUUCGCUAUUCGUCAUGCAUCAGUUGUGACCUUAAAUAGGUCUUUCAUUUUUCAAUCUUUUUUUUAUUAUUAUUAGAUGGUACCUUAUGCAACACACUUUAUGAAAACAUUCUCCUCUUUUGCGAGUGCAUUUUCUUCAAAUGAUUUCAUGUUCUUGGGAAUUCACUUGCUCGGUUGGUUUGAUAGGGUAAAAGCCAGUCGAGAGCAUUUUUAUGACCCCAUAUUUUGGAGAGUUAACCCUCUUGAACCUAGAGACCAAAUUCAUAUGUAAUAAUAAAAAAUAAAAAUAAAAAAUAAAAUCCAAUGGUCAUCUGCCUAAAAAAAUUAGCAUAAAGGUUUAAGUAUUUAGAAACUAAAAAAUUAUUGUUAUUUUCUAUUGAAGAUAGUUAUCGAGUGAUUUUUAAGUGGUUCACAUAUAUAUUUAAAUAGAAAAUUCCCUCCAAAGUAUCUCUUUGGCCCGAGCAAUUAAGUGUAAUGUUUGUUCUUCGGUGAAUAGGUUGGGUACUUAGAGAGAGAAAGAGAGUUUAGAUAUUUAGAGAGAGAAAAUUGUUUUAUGAGGCUCGACUGUAUUUUUACAAUAUACGGUUUGGAGGUAUAAAGCAUUCAUCUUAAAAUAGAUGCAAAUAGGCUGUCCAUCAAAAAAUAAUUGUAACUAACUGUUCAAAUAUUUUUUUAAUAUAAUUAUUACUUUUAACUUUCAAUUUUUUCUUUUUUAUUCAUGAUCUCCUUGUUAAAGAUUAUAUAAAAGUUAAAGAUAAAAUUAUAUUUAAAGAAUAUAUUUAUUGUCAAGGCCCUUUUCUACAUAUGCGUCGUUGGCCAUUGAAACCUUAUCCUUUGUUUAGAUAUGAAAAAUGGUUUGAUAAGGCUGCAGCUCUAUAAUAACAAGUAAAGCCUCACCUUAUAAUUCAUUGAAAAUUGCAAUUUAAUCAUUAUAAAGCUUUUACAUCAAUCAUUUUGGCUUGGAUGUUAUGGUUGUAAAAAAAACAGGUUCCAAGCUUUUAAAAAAUAAUACAUAUUGUAACAAAUUUUCUAGAUCGUUUAUAUCACACUAAAAAUAAGUAGUCAUAGAUCCGUAAGAUAUGUACCAUUUUUUAAAUGUCGAAUUUGAUUGUUGGUUUUGAAAAUUGAUUUUUGAACCAUCACGGGGUUUUUGUUGCCGAAAGUGCUUUUUAAAUAAGGAUUAGAGAAAAAAGUUUAUUUUGUUUUUAUAAAGCCUAAGCCUUAUAAAAACUUAACUUUUUAGAUAUUUAGAGAACGAGAGAGAAUCAACUAGAAUUUAGGUGGAUCUUAUUUUAUCGUACGCUCUAAGUCAUUGCCUACGACACUCAACACACUUACGGCCUUUUGCACCAUGUACGGCAGUUCUCUUGUCCAUACAAAUGCCGCACAUUCUCUCAUCAAUUUCACGUGUAAAAAUUGAUUGCUUUAUAGGGUUGUCCCCAUGCAAAAAUGGCAGCAUGGUGCCGCCCAUCACUUUCACGUGUAAAUAAUAAAUCUAAAAUAUGAUGGUUGGAGAUAUGUUAUUAUUUAAAUAUAAAUCUUAAAAUAAAAGUUUUUAGAAGUCAGGACACACUUUUAUCAAUUAGAUUUAAAAAAAAAUUGUAGGUACAACUUACAGUUAAACUUUAUAGACAAUCUCCUUCCAAGCAAAAGUUUUUUUUUUUUUAUCCUAAAAAAUAAUUUUUCGUAAAUAUCCCUUAAAGUCAAAAAGUUGUUUUUGUAGAUAAUAAUACCUUUUUCCGUACAAUAAUUAAAUAUUGAAGUGGAUUGACAAAAAAAGACUGACACUACACCCAUCGCCGAACCGCACAACAAACUUGCCGGACCUCAUAACUAUGGUGCCAAAUUGAGACAAAAAAGUGUCGAACCCAUCGCUUGGUAUUGCAAGACAGCUUAAAACUACUGGAUCCCUUGUAGAACAUGCUAGACCCAACUUCUAAACUGCCGGACCGAAAUAAGAGUAUAAUAUGCUCUUGGAAGAAUAGGUUAGUGAUGUAGAUCAAAAUUAGGAUGCUAUGAAUUUAAAAUUUUUUUUUAAUAAUUUUAUUUUUAGAGUUUGGGUAAAAGAUUUAUUUGUAUUUAUUAAAGUUAAUUAUUAAUAAUAGGAUUUUUUGGGAUUAGUUUCAUAAGUCCUUGUUUUAUAAGUCCCUUUUAUUUUUAAGAUAAUAAGGUCCAAUUUCAUUUAGGAAAGUGGUCCGUAUUUUUAGUAGGGGAUUUAUUUAGGAAAAUUAGCGCAUUUCUUUUUGAAGUCUUAUUUUAAAACAAAAGAUAAAUACAAUUGUUUGGUAUUAAGAUAAUUACUUAUCUCUUGGUGAGCUGGUCAUUUUUUUUUAUAUAGGAAUUAUUUUUAGAAAGUUCCAUAGUGUAGGAAGGUUUCGUUUUUAUCAAGUUAGGUUCGCUUGUCUGUUUUUCUUCCUAAUCACGUAGAUGGAAAGAAUGGAAUUUUUGUGGUAAAAAGUAGUUGGUGCGUAAUGGGGUAGAGAUAAGUCUUAAUGUUUACCAUUCUACAAGAGAUAAGACGGAUAAUUAUUGGGUGAAGUGUUGAUUUUUUUAUAAAAAUGAAGUACAUGCAUUGUAAAAGAGAAUUGAAUUUUAUGGAAUAAAAAAAAAAAAUUUUGUAAAGAGAUUUUUUUGUAGAUAUUAUUUUUGCAUCGGAAUAUUCGUAUCUACACGUUUUUUUUUUUUCGUUGUGAUUUCUUUCAUCCGUAAUUAUUUUUAUAGGUGGUGUUUGCCUAUAAAUUUUAUACUGCAUUCAACUAUGGUACUUAGAGAGAGAGUUUAGAUAUUUAGAGAGAGAAUUAUUUCAUUGUACUUUAUUGGUGAACCUGUAAUACCAGGCGAAAUGAGAUCCACAAAUAUUUUUACUUCCCCUUAGUACCAUGUGCACUGCUUCUCUUAUCCCUGUAACUGUCCGCAAGUUGCCCUUUCAUCAUUUUCACCAGUAAACAAUGACAAAAAUCAAUACGGUCGACCCACAAGUUUCCCUCACAUCAUUUUCACCCGUAAACAAUGACAAAACUCAAUAGGGUCGACCCACUAGACGGGUCUUUGUGAAAAUGAUUUAAAAAAAUUAUUAAUUUAAUCCGAGCUCUAUUUUAAUUAUCUAAGAUCAGCUACGCCAAUUCGGUUAUAUCAUUCAGCUGUAUUAAAGGUCUUAAUUUUAAAAUUUCAUAAGUCAUUGUAUCUCUUCUCAAAUGAUUUAUUUUAUAUUUUUUCAUUUGUUUCUAUAUUUUUCUAAAAAAUAUCACUAACAAUAAUUAAUUUUUCUAAAUUUAUUUUUAUUUUUUAGCUUUUUGGGACUUUUAUGUUGUCUUUAGUUUUGUAAUUUUGUUCCACUUUACUAAUUUUCAUUUUAUUCUAAGAUAAUUUUUUCAUCUUUUAAUUUAGGGCAUUUUGUUUGGCCUUGUAAAUGUUGAGUUACUCUCCUCAGACGGGGUUGAGUCCAAAGUGAAGCGGCAAGAAUAUUUUUUUAUACAGCCUGGGUUGUACACACAACUCGGUAUACUCGGACUCUCUGGAGUAACUUGUCAAAGUCUGAGUGGACUCGGGUGAGUAAUGGAACCAUGACCUGAAUAAGUAUGAUACUAUUUACAAGCGGUGGGGAUGUAAUUCGCAGCUCAUCAAACGAUCAAUGUUUCAAAGGAUUCCAGUUUUUGCAUCUAAGAGGGUUCUUAAAUCCUAUCAUUUUCUUGAUUUGCUCGAUAGGGUAAAAAAACCCAAUCACGAGCAUUUUUAUGCCCCCAAAUUUUGUUGACUUAACCCUCUUGUAGCUAGUGACCAACUUCAGGAAUAAUAAAACAAAAAAACAAAAUCCAAUUAUGCUUGUGCCCGAAAAACUUUACAUGUUUAAGUAUCUAAAAACAAAAAAUUUACUCUUUUUUUUCCUUUUGAAAAUAAUUAUCGAGUGAUUUGUAAGCAGCUUUCAAAAAAUUAAAUGCAUAAUUUCCUCCAAUGUAUCUCUUUGACCCGAGGGAAUAAGUGUAUAAUAUGCGCUUGGAACAAUAGGUUAGUGAUGUAGAUUAAAAUUUGGAUGCUAGAAAUUUUAAUUUUAUUUUUUAAUAAUUUUAUUUUUAGAGUUUGAAUAAAAUUAUUAUUUUUAUUUAUUAAGAUUAAUUAUUAAAAAUAGGAUUUUUAAGUUAGUUUUAUAAGUCCUUUUUUAUAAGUCCGUUUUAUUUUAAGAUAACAAGAUCCGUGGUUCGUAUAUUUAGUAGGGGAUUUAUUUAAAGUCUUGUUUUAAAACAAAAGAUAAAUACAGUUGUUUGGUACUAAGAGGAUGACGUAUCUCUUGGUGAGAUCGUCAUCUUUUUUUUAUAUAGGAAUUAUUAUUAGAAAGUGGCAUAGUGCGGCAAGGUUUCGUUUUCAUCAAGUUACGUUCUUUUAUCAUGUUUUUCUUGUGAAAAAAAAUGGAAUUUUAUUGGUAGAUGGUAGUUGUUGGUACGUGAUGAGCAGAGAUAAGUCUUAAUGUUUACAAUUUUACAAGAGAUAAGAAGGAUGACGCUUGGGUAAAGUAUUGAUUUUUUUUAGGAAGACGAUGAACAUAUAUUGUAAAAGGCAAUUGAAUUUUAUAAAAUAAAGAAAGUGUUUCUGGUAAAGAGAUGUCUUUUUGUAGGUAUUGUUUCUUCUCUUGUAUUUAUGGGUUUGUGUCAAAAUACUUAUAUAUGUACGUUUUGUACUUUCUUUUUGUAAUUUCCUUUAUAGGAGGUUAUUUUUAUUAGUAGUGUUUUUUUAUAAAUUUUAAGGAAAAAAUUUAUAUAAAGAUGUUACCUUUUAUUUUUGUUGAUAGAAAGUUCAUUAAAUUUUGUUGCUCUAGAAUGAAAUUACAUAUUCUGAAACGGAUACAUCAGAAAGGGUAGUACCACCUUUGGCAAGGAAAUCUGUCAAGGCAUUCGCCUCCCUAUAAACGUGAAAAAAAAAAACAGAGAGUGAAACAAAUAAAACCAAGAUUUGCAACAACAACGGUUUCAGUUCCCACGAGAGAAGUUGUUCCUUCUUGCACCACAAUAUCACAUUAAGAGAAUCCCCUCUAGAAUGAACUCAUACCCCAAUUUUCUAUCCACAAUAGUACGCAGACCAAAAAGAACGGCAGAGAGUUCAGUGAAGUUAGCAGUCCGAACAUCAAGAGGACUUGCAUAAGAAAGAACCACAUUUCCAUCCCAAUCUCGAAUCACUCCUCGAAAGCCAGAUACACCCAGGUUGCCUAUCGAGAUGCCAUCUAAAUUUAAUUUAUAUACCCCCUGUGGCGGUGGCAACCAUCUCCCUUUAAGCCUACAUUUGGUGAAAUUCCAGUGGAAGAUAUCACCUAAAUUUCUUCUGAUAUCUAAUUCAGUGAUAUCCUGCCCCCUCGGAGUAAUCGAAAGAAAAGACCAAAUACAGUGCAGAAGUCUAUCCAAGACCUUUUUACAAGACAAAGUCACCCCUUCGAAGACUCUCCUAUUCAUCUCUUUCCAAAUUUCCCAAAGACUGACUCCUAUUCAUCUCUUUCCAAAUUUCCCAAAGACUGACUCCUCUAACUAUUUGCCAAGUAAUAGUCCCCAGCUUCGGAAGUGGAAUCGAGAGGCCUUCUAUUAUCCUCACUACUGAGAGGGCCAUUACCAAUGUAACUCCCAACUUCGCGAGAAACCAUCUUCAAAUAUGGCUAGCAAAGGUACAAUGUAGGCAUAGUUGGUUACUUGACUCCCCAUACGCCUUACACAAAAGACAAAUAUUUGGUAAAAUCUUCCACGCUUAAUAAGAUUAUCAAUAGUGAGUACUCGAUCUUGGGCCGCCAACCACAAAAAUCCUUGAACCUUCAACGGAAGAGGCCACUUCCAAAUCCUGGCAAGAAUAGGCAUAGACCAUCUUACCCUAUCGUGGAAGAGCAAAUAAUAUAUGGAUUUAACCGAAAAAAUGUCAUUCUUAUCAAUUUCCCACGCCACUUCAUCAUUUGCAUUCAAAGAAAUAUAAACAUCUUCCAACAUCUUAAGAAGGUCAGAAACCCACCCUGCUGAGCCUGAGUACAUGAGAGACCUCCGAAGAGAAUGCCCGUUGAAAGUGAUCAACAACUAAAAGAAAGACCUAUGUGAUCUUUUACUGGGGAAUACAUUUUUUUUUUUUUCACCCCUUUCUUUUGGCAAAAGAUCACUUACAUGUGGUCUUUAUUAUAAUAAGAUAAAUUUAAAAAUAAAAUCAACAUAAAAAUAAAACCAAGAUCUUAACAACUUGAUGUCAUUGAAACAACUAUGUACUAUGCUUGAGAAUAAAAGAUAAGAUUGCAAUAAACAAAAGAAAGAGUGCCGGAGAUUACUUCAACCGCGCUUAUUACAUCUCACACCGAGUCACCAAUAUUCGAUGGCGCAGGAUCAACGGUCUAGCUUCAAUCUCGAACUGGGAAAGCAAAUUUCGGCUAAGCCAUACCAAUGGAACAUGAACCCCUUUGAUGACAAACUCAAACCCUAGGUGAUUCUCUUAGCAACCUAGUUUAAGAGAGAUAGAUUCUCUUUUUGUUGAAGCCAUAAAUCCAUAUCUGAGAGAUAGGAGAGAAAAGAACUCUAUAACCUAAACCCUUAGGUUCUUUCACAAUGUGGGAGAGAGAGAAACCUUCUUAAGAGAGAGAGACAGAAAGAUAACGUGUAGAUAUUUUGAGUAGAGACGAUCCCUUUUUUAUAGAUUUGAACAAGAUUAGGGUUUUUUAGAGCUUUCCUUGGUUUGCUUCUUCUUAUGAGAUUGAACAUAGACCGUCGAUCAAGGGUGACUUGUGGGGUGAGAUAUCUGAGUCAUCCAUUUCAUAGAUGGGCCAUCAAUAUUGUGGAAAGUGCAUGGACCAUUAUCCCCANNNNNNNNNNNNNNNNNNNNNNNNNNNNNNNNNNNNNNNNNNNNNNNNNNNNNNNNNNNNNNNNNNNNNNNNNNNNNNNNNNNNNNNNNNNNNNNNNNNNNNNNNNNNNNNNNNNNNNNNNNNNNNNNNNNNNNNNNNNNNNNNNNNNNNNNNNNNNNNNNNNNNNNNNNNNNNNNNNNNNNNNNNNNNNNNNNNNNNNNNNNNNNNNNNNNNNNNNNNNNNNNNNNNNNNNNNNNNNNNNNNNNNNNNNNNNNNNNNNNNNNNNNNNNNNNNNNNNNNNNNNNNNNNNNNNNNNNNNNNNNNNNNNNNNNNNNNNNNNNNNNNNNNNNNNNNNNNNNNNNNNNNNNNNNNNNNNNNNNNNNNNNNNNNNNNNNNNNNNNNNNNNNNNNNNNNNNNNNNNNNNNNNNNNNNNNNNNNNNNNNNNNNNNNNNNNNNNNNNNNNNNNNNNNNNNNNNNNNNNNNNNNNNNNNNNNNNNNNNNNNNNNNNNNNNNNNNNNNNNNNNNNNNNNNNNNNNNNNNNNNNNNNNNNNNNNNNNNNNNNNNNNNNNNNNNNNNNNNNNNUUUAGUUCCAUUUUUUCAUAUUUGCCCAGAAAGGAAGCAUGUAGUUCCAUUUUUUCAUAUUUGCCCAGAAAGGAAGCAUGUAGUUCCAUUUUUUCAUAUUUGCCCAGAAAGGAAGCAGUGAGGAUGAGUAUUCUAUCCCAUCGAUGGAAAAAUAUCUGGACUGGUAUUUCAGCUCUUGAAUGGUGGCCGUGUCUUGAAGCAUGUUGCGAGAUUCAAGCUUGUGUUUUACCCUGGAAAGUUCAAAGACCAUGUCUGUAGGUGUCUACAAUUCUUACAAAAGAGUGGGGUACAAGUGCUUGAUCUUGAUUUCAGAGGGGAAUCUCAAGAGGAGGAUAUAAUUGUUAUGAUACCAUUUCUUUGUUAUUGGUAUUGAAUCUUAAAAAUUGCUCCAUAGGCCUUCCUUUCGACUUUGAAGGCUAAAUCUUUGAGGACUUUCUCUCUGGUAUUCAUAUCAAUGGGGAUCAACUUUCCGUUUUGGUUUCCAAAUGUGCUUGACUUUAGGUUGCUGCAAGGACAUCAAAAACAUCAAGAUUUUGGGUCCUCAUACCCAGCUUCAGAGCUUGAAGAUAGAUGAAUGUUAGUUCCAAUAAUGAAAAUGAAUAAAUAAAUACAUAUAAUCGAUAAACAGUUUACUCGGAUCUAUCCUUAAAUAACACUAGGGACUUAAAGUUUCGUACCAAAACCUAUAGACCAAGCCAUCCGGUGAUAGACAACCUUGAGAGACCUCUUGGUGAAGCUCUUUCACCUAUUUUCCAUCAUUCUCUCUCCCUCUUUUAAUUGAGGGGUUAACCUCUUUUUAUGGAAAACCAUAUUUUGUAAAUCUCAAGUUUAUAGAAAUUGAUAACCAAGUAUAACUCAUACCUUAAUUCCCUUAAGUACAGCCAAUUAGGAUUAACAAGUUAUCACCAAACUCUUAUUCCUAUAUAAUGAGCUAAACAUGUCAUUAAUGCAUUAAUGACUCACAUAAUAAGAUGUCAUCCAAGCAUUCUUACAAUUUGAUAAAAGAUAUUUAGAAAUUAAAUAAUUUUGUACAUCUAUAAUAUAGAAAAAAAGAAACAAUUCUUACAAAGAAUCCAAACACAUCAUUCGGUUUUCCCUCCAGCCCAACAUCUUAUAAAAGUUCCAAAAUGGAUCCUAAUAUAUGACAUGACCUCAUGUCAAACACAUAGGAUUUCACAUACACUAUACAAUAUGGCUUUUGUACCAUUAUUCACAUGGGAUUUCAUAUAUACUAUAUAAUAUGGCUUUUGUAACAUUGUUGAAAAAUAAAUUCCCGGGAUAAAAGGGCCUAAUAGGCUAGUAACUUUAGGAGAUCUUGAGAUUGAUGCUCCAAAUUUGUUUUCUUUUGAUUUUACUGGAUGGGUGUCUGGGUCUACUGAGCACCAAGACGCUCUUCUCUUCAGAUGGGCAGCCUGAAACAUGGGACCGUGAAAUAGCUAUGAAUCUUAGCAAGCUAGUUCAUAUCGAGUCUUUGUGUUUGCUUGGAUUUUCUUUUCAAGGUAAAUUGAUGCAGAGUCUUUUCCUUGACGAAAUCUAGCCUAGGUUUUCUCAUAAACUUGUUAAAUGGUGUUCUCAAUUUGGGAUAUGUGCUAUAAUCCAACCAUAAUCCGUUUAGUCAUCAUCAUCCAUUUCAUUGAUAGAGGGUAGAAAAGACCAGACCAAGAGAUGACCCCCUAAUGUGUGUACCGUUCCCUUUCUAUCACCAUCCAUCACUUCAGCGGAUGACAGUGAACCAGUGGACUGUGCUCUCUUUGUUGUCCAUGAAAAUGAAAUUUAUUUUGAUGUAAGAUGUCACUAGUCAUUCUUCUACUUCUAUUUCUUCAGCGCACACCUUGAAAGUAAAUGUCAUGAAAAUAUCUGAGAUUGCAGCCUUGGAUGUUGGCAUCAUUUAGAAGAAAUCGUUUUGUGGGUGGGUAUUCUACAAUCAUAAAUUGCUCUACUCUCUUUUCAUUCUUUUUUUUGAAUUUUUUGCAAGCUAACUUUAUUUUUCAUUUAUCUUUUUCGCUUAUUUUGAUUCCACUAGGUCGGCUAAGUCUGCACUUUUGGGACGACAAACCACCUUCGUAUUGUAUAGGAGAUUACCUUAAAACUGUGGUGAUAAAAAACUUCUCAGGAUUGGAGGGUGAGGAAGCAUUCGUAAGAUUAUUGCUCAUAUUUGCCAUGGAGCUUAAGAAGAUCAUUGUCAGUUGCUACUAGAGCGUGCGCUUGGAGAGGAGGGUGCAAACAGCUCUCGAGAAUUUGUGACAACUAGUGACGGGUGUCGAGAUGGUUGUUUAUUUUGUUUCUACCCUAUAACUACAUGAGGAUGACUAUUCGACUCAAGACGGACUAGAUGACUGAUAACAGCUGAGUAUUAUGACUGUGACUUCGGUGACGGCUAUUUCGAGUAUGACACCUUUGAAAUUAAAGGUUAUUUUUAUGACCACAAAAUGAUCUUAAAUCUUAUGUUGCACUAAGUGUGCCAAGUCUUGGUUUGAGUUUGAUCCUUCAAUUCUUCUGUUGCAGUAAGUGCUUUCUUUUUAGGCAAGUUGAUACCAAUUCCAGUUUGAUUUUGCAUCUGGUCUUUAAACUAUUGUCCAUUGAUAUAAUGUAGAUAUCUGGAUAUUGUUCGUCUGCAUCUAAAGAAUCAAUGUAGGGUUUGAGGAAUGCGUUGUUUUGCAAUGUAGUGUCAUACUUCAGCUAGAAUCUAAGAAUGGUAUAUCUCUUUUCUAAGUUGGAAUGGUUAAUUCAGUAUUUGUUCUAUUUUCAGGGAGAUUUUGGUGGUUUUUUGUUUGGUAUGCUGUUUGACAAUUAUAGGCCGUAAAUAAAAGGAUUUGUGACUAGUCAUGACAUCUAUUCUAUAUUUUUCCGGUAUUAAAAUUUUGCAUUGCUAUCUUAACAUUUUAGUUUUCUAGUUUUAAUUUGGAAUUGCUUUCUAGCAGCGGUCAUAGUUAACCACACCUCAAGGCCCUACUUUAGAGACGAACCAAGGACCCAAAACUCAAAACAGUUCUCAGCAUGGACCAUAGUCAUUAAGACUGGAGGGCUAUGAUGGUUUGACUGUUACUAAUGCCUUGGUUAAUUUAGUUCAAAAUAAAAAUUAAGUUUGACAAAACACUUAUCAAAAAUCAUUAUUUGACUGAUUUGGGUUGGCUUGACUAGUCGGUUUCGAAUGAUUUCACUAUCCAAACAAAACAAUGCUACUUGUAUAUGCUCAUAUAUAUAUAUAUAUAUAUAUAUAUAUAUAUAUAAUAUGGGGGAAAGAUCCUUUCAGCCCAAUGGCGUACUGCCACAGUAAACACCAACGGCCCAAAUUGAAUUUGGGCCGAUCUGACGAUCUUGGAUGUCCAAUAGUGUAUGAAUUUUAAUUUUUUUUCUAAAAAUCGAAAUAAUUUGAAAUUUGGAAAUUAUGUACAUAAAAAAUAGGUGAAUAUUUUAAAAAUAUAAAAAAAUAUUUUACAUGAAAAAAUUGACCAAAAUACCCCUGUAAAAAUUCGAGGAUAUUUUGGCCAUUUUGUUUUUUUUACGAAUUAUUAUUAUUAUUUUUAUAUUUUUAUUAGGUACGUCUUGAUAUGAAGUACAUACACCUAAAAUUUCAAGUGAUUUGGACUUAUAAAAAAAAAUUAAAAUUCAAACACGAAAAGAGGUCGUGACAAGUUAGAUCGGCCCAGAUUCAAUCUGGGCCAUUGUCGUUUACUGUAGCGGUCAGCUAGUGGGCGUAUUGAAUCCACUCCCUAUAUAUAUAUAUAUAUAUAUAUAUAUAUAUGUGUGUGUGUGUGUGUGUGUGUGUGUGUGUGUGUGUGUGUGUGUGUGNNNNNNNNNNNNNNNNNNNNNNNNNNNNNNNNNNNNNNNNNNNNNNNNNNNNNNNNNNNNNNNNNNNNNNNNNNNNNNNNNNNNNNNNNNNNNNNNNNNNNNNNNNNNNNNNNNNNNNNNNNNNNNNNNNNNNNNNNNNNNNNNNNNNNNNNNNNNNNNNNNNNNNNNNNNNNNNNNNNNNNNNNNNNNNNNNNNNNNNNNNNNNNNNNNNNNNNNNNNNNNNNNNNNNNNNNNNNNNNNNNNNNNNNNNNNNNNNNNNNNNNNNNNNNNNNNNNNNNNNNNNNNNNNNNNNNNNNNNNNNNNNNNNNNNNNNNNNNNNNNNNNNNNNNNNNNNNNNNNNNNNNNNNNNNNNNNNNNNNNNNNNNNNNNNNNNNNNNNNNNNNNNNNNNNNNNNNNNNNNNNNNNNNNNNNNNNNNNNNNNNNNNNNNNNNNNNNNNNNNNNNNNNNNNNNNNNNNNNNNNNNNNNNNNNNNNNNNNNNNNNNNNNNNNNNNNNNNNNNNNNNNNNNNNNNNNNNNNNNNNNNNNNNNNNNNNNNNNNNNNNNNNNNNNNNNNNNNNNNNNNNNNNNNNNNNNNNNNNNNNNNNNNNNNNNNNNNNNNNNNNNNNNNNNNNNNNNNNNNNNNNNNNNNNNNNUUGGUAUAUAUAUAUGCAUUCACAAGUAAUAGUUAUAUAAUAGUAUGACAGUUUAAAAUGAUUUUCAUAAACGCUUAAUGGACCUUGAAAGACUAUGUGGUUUUCUCAAUACCAUAUUCGUAGACUUAGGAUUUUCUCAAAUCAUCUAAUUUAAUUAUAAAAUACAUGCUUAUUCUUCAUAAAUCAUUUUAUCGCAUUCACCCUUAAUUUUCUACCAAGUCAAGUUCAUAGUCACAAAAACAAAUCAUAUAUAUCAUCUUAUAAUUUUAUCCAAAAAUAAAGCACGACUAAAUAAUGUCCAUUAAAGCCUUGACAAAAUACUUUAUUUUUGACAAUUAUGAAGAAUUUAUCAAAAGAUCAUCAUUACAUACAAUACAUCAUAUUAUAGACAUUAUUGAGAGGAUGGGCACCAAGACCAAGUUACAUAAGAAUACUCCAUUUGUGCUUACAUAUUUGAAUGAGUCACACCCAUAUCUCGUGUUUCAUCCUUAGGGCUCUAAGUCCUUGAUUAAAUUACAUAUUCAUGUGUACCACUACCUUAAGUAGUUCAUACUCAAACACAAGGAGGCACAAAAACACAAGGUAUUCAAAAUCGGUACUUUCAAAUUUGUUAGCACUUAUCACUUAAUGUCCAUACACUCCAUACAUAUUCAUAAAACAAGUAGCCAAAAUAUAACCAGAGCACAUUAAACAAAGUUAUUGAAUCCUUUUUCCCUAUAUGACCUUUUCAUAUAUGACCUUACCAUAUAAUGUGAGAUAGAUAUUAUACCUCAAAAUCAUGUAGUGUGGUACCUAGGCUGUCUUGAUUCAUCGUUUUUACUUGUUUGACAAGUUUUUGUGAUCUUAGAAGUGUACGCAACUGAUGGAGAAUAUAUUGGUUAUUGGUUUCACAUGUCACGAAGUGUCAAUUUUUUUGACACUUGGAUUCUCCUGUCUUACACCGUGAAGACAAUAUCUUAUUCAUCCAAUUAUUUCAAAUAUCAUAAUUUCGAUUCUCCCACUGAUUUUUAGCAUUUUUAUGCUUCUACAAAGUCUCUCUAUAUAUUCUUUCAUUUCGAAGAAACCAAGAUGUUUUUAUAGCUAUUGUGUUUCUUCUUCUUUUUGCUAUUCCCAAAUCUAAUACUCUUUAAAUAGAGUGUCAUAUCGUGUCAACUAUAUAUUACCUCUCUCUGAAGUUUUAUUAUAACAAACCAUACUUAUAGCACACUAUAAAAACAUUUUAAUUCAGCCCAAAAAAAAGGUUUUCAUAUUUAGGAUUCCAAAUAUGUGUCUUAACAUGCCACAUCUUUUUAAUUUACUGCAGAAUAAAACUUGAGCAUCCCAUGAUAAAAAUAUGAUAUCUCUCAACUUAUAAAUAGUUAAUCUUCGAAUUCUUUUGAGUAAUUUAAUAGACUAAAAAAAACAUAAAAUAAUGUUAAGUUUCAUCCCUAAAUCAUAUCAUUAGUGAAAAUUCAUUUUAGUAACAUUUAAGUCACAAUGCAAUUUUUUUUAGUUGAAAAUCAGGUUGAGCACCUUUUAAUAAAAAAAAAUCGUUUCUCUCAAUCCUCAAAGAAUUUCUUUUUGAAAUCUAUUGUGUUGAAAACUAGACUCAAAACCAAAACAUAACAUUAUAGUUUGAAUCCCAAAUAAUUCUUUUCUUCAGAGAAAUAUAAGUGACAUUCACGUCACAAAAUAAAUUAUACUGCAGAAUUUAAGGAUAAACACUAUCUAGUAAAAUUGUCUUUUCUCUCUACCAUUAUGGAAUUUCUCUUUCAAACCAAUUUUUUUUUAAAUUAGACACAUAAUAGUAACACAUAUAUUUUCACAAGCCUUAUAUCACUCCAUUAAGUAGGCUUGAUAAACAUAGAUAUUCAUGUUUUCAAUGAAGGACAUAUCAAAUUACAGAAAAUUCAGGAUGACCUCUCUUUAAUCCAAAAUUUUUAUUCCUUUCAUCAAAUAGAUAUUUUUCUCUCAAAUAAAUUUUAUUACAAAUUAGGCUCAGAAUGGAAGUCUAAAAACUUAGUGUGAACCAUAAAACAUUCUGUUAAUAAUAUAAAUAAAAUCUUAAUUUCUAAGUCAUUAAAAUAAUUUUAGAAAAUAGCAAUUGCGCAUCCUUCAAUAAAUUGAUCAUAUCUUUCAUACCACAAGGACUUUCUUGAUGAAACAUUUUUUGUUUGAAAGUUGACUCAAUUUUAUACGUCACAAUCCAAUUUCAGCUAGAAAUAAAAUCAUAUGGUUGGUAAGAAAAAUCACGGAAUUCAAUAGACAGUUCUUGAAUUUUGCAUAGUCAUAACUGACACCCUUCAUUGUUGAGUCCAUAACUCUCAAUUCAUACAGGAUCUCCUACUAAAAUUUUGCUGGUAAAUCCUACUCUAAAAUAGAUAAAAUAUCAUUGAAGUAUGUAAUAGAAAAAAUACCUCAUGAUAUUCUUUAUAUCACUUUUCCAAAAUAGCCUAGAAUACUCGUUAUUCAAAGUGCCUUUUCGAUGUUGAAAUAUUUCAAUAAUUAUUAACCGUAAGUGUAUUUCUUGACCACAAAGGUCAUUAUCUUUCUUAUAUCUCAUUUCCAAGCUUGAUCUAAACUCAAUAACGAAAAAAAAUAACUAAUGGUAUCAAGUAUCAGUAACUCUGAUACAAAUGAAAGAAAGACCUAUGUAAUCUUUUACAGGGGAAUACAUUUUCUUUCUUUUUUUCACCCAUUUCCUUUGGCAAAAGAUCACUUACAUGUGGUCUUUCUUAUAAAAAGAUAAAUUUCAAAAUAAAAUCAACAUAACAAUAAAAUCAAGAUCUUAACAACUUGAUGCCAUUGAAACAACUAUACACUAUGCUAGAGAAUAAAAGAUAAGAUUAUAAGAAAUAAAAUGAAGAGUGCCGGAGAUUACCUCAACUGGGUUUAUUACACCCUACACCGAGUCACCACCAUCCCAUGGCGUGGGAUCAAUGGUCUAACUUCAAUCUCGAACCGGGAAAGAAAAUUUCGGCCAAGCCACACCAAUGGAAUAUGAACCUCUUUGAUCACAAACUCAAAUCCUAAGUGAAUUCUCUUAGCAACCUAGUUUGAGAGAGAUGGAUUCUUUUUUUGGCGAACCCUAAAACCCUUAGCCAUAAAUCCAUAUUUGAGAGAUAUGAGAGAGAAGAACACCAUAACCUAAACCUUUAGGUUCUUUCACAAUAAGGGUGAGAGAGAUCAAACAUGAGAGAGAGAAAGAAACUUUCUUAAGAGAGAGAGAUAGAAAGAUAAGGUGUAGAGAUUUUGGAUAGAGACAAUCUUUUUUUUAUAGGUUUGAACAAGAUUAGAGUUUCUUAGGGUUUUCCUUGGCUUGCAUAUUCUUGUAAGAUUAAAUAUAGACCGUCGAUCAAGGGUAACUUGUGGGGUGAGAGAUCCGAGCCAUCCAUUCCAUAGAUGGGUCAUUAACAUUAUAGAAGAUGCAUGGACCAUUAUCCCCCUUUCCUUAACUAUUUUUCCAUCAUUAAAAAUUAAAUAAAUUAACUCUAUAAUCUUUCACAAACUAUUCCAAAGAUAUAUCAAAUCAAUAUACACUUUCAAUAUGUGAUCAAAAUAUUCCAUAUCUUAUUUGACCACAUGCCAUAACAUAAUAUUACCAAAACAUGAAAUAGCUUAAACUUCAAGAAAGAAUCCAAUGGGUGGGGCGUGCCACCCAUGUGUGGCACAUGUGGGCCCCACCCACUUGACACAUGGUAGGCCCAUGUGCACUAUCGGCCCCUCCAUGAUAUUUUAUAUAAAUUUAAAUUAUCAAACAAAUUCUAAAACAUUAUUUGAAUUUUAUAAGUUUGUAAAGUCAAUAUCUUCAUUUUUAUAAAUCCAAAAAAAAAUUAUACAUAAAAUAUUAAAUGUCUCAUAAAAAUUUAAAUAAUAAUUCUAAAAUAAUUUUUAUCAUAAAACAAACAUAAUUAAAUUAACUUGAUGGGAAAUGGAUCCAUAUGGUUAAGGAAUUUAAUCUGCAAUCAUGGGCCACUCCACUUUCAACUGUGGACUACAGGCCACACUUGCCUUAUCAAACCGGCUCAGUGUUUCCCAGCUCAUUAGCGGGUCACCAAAGUUUGGCGGAUGAGCUAAGAGGUCACAAUCCCAGUCUGUGGACUACAGGUCCUCCCUUAGAGACAAGUCAAGGUCACCAAGACCUUAUGCCACCAUAGCUCUAUGGCACAUAGGGGUAUCUCUCACAUGCAUACGCUUCACCCUAAGAGGUGGAUUUCUGGCUUUUCCAAACGAUCUAUCGAUAUGCAUGUCAUGUGAGGGUACAUAGAUGAGAUUUUGGCCCCUGUUUAUGUAGGCCACCAUCACACACAAGUCACACGGUCCCUUGGCUCACUCAUCCAGGCAUGUUCUCUGACCUCAUCAAAGGCUAACCUAUAACCCUCAUCGGUUUAUUCUUCAUGCCCAGAUAACACGGUUUUUUUCCAACCGACUGGCUUAGAUCGUUAAGCACAGGUCGGUAUCAACAAACUAACGUUUGUUUAGUAGAGUCCACGCACUGAGUUCUUGUUUCAUUAUAUCAUUUCAUUUUACAAUCACUCAUAAAGCCUUUAAAGGCCACAUAAACCUAACAAACUUGAGAUAUACCCUCAUUGUCCUCUUGAUCUACCCUAUUCCCAGACAAACCAGAAAUAUCGUUUUGGCAUCUCCUUGUAUUGGCAAUAGAAUGGAAAUAUUUUGUGUUCAAAUCCCCUUCCUUAAGCCACUUAACCCUCGACCUUUGUCUUCAUUAUACUUCUUCCACCCUCCUAAGCUCCUGUAACUCAUUGAGUUUUUCACUUCUCUCCACCACCAACUUCUCAGACCUUUCAUCAUUCUGAUGCAUCACAAAGUCUAGGUCCUCAAUAGAGAGUAGAAGCGCAUCAAUCUUGCACUUUACAGAAGAAUACUUUCCUUUUUCAACUUCAAGAGUUUAUGUUUAAUAUUUACCAGUUUUUUAUGGAGUUGAUAAUCAAGUGAUCCAGUGGUGACUGAAUUCUCCCACGUACUUUUUAUAAUUUUUGAGAUUUCUUUCUCCUUUAACCAAUCAAUUUCAAACCAAAAAGGCCUAAUACCACCAGAGCAACCCUUAUAGGUUAACAAAAUCGGAGUGUGGUCAGAAGAGAGUCUAGGGAGAGCUCUCACAGAGGCUAAUGGAAAAAUUCUAACCACUCGGGGGAUACUAAGAACCUGUCAAUUUUUGACAUAAAAAGCACGACAGAGCUUCCAUUGGUCCAAGUAUAUUUAGCCCUUGUUUUUGGAUAAUCCGUAUGCCAAUUGCACCCAAAUUUUAAACUGCAACAGUUACAGUACUUAGAGAGAGAGUUUAGAUAUUUAGAGAGAAUUUUUCAUUGUACUUUCUGGAUGAGCCUUUAAUACCAGGUGAAAUGGGAUCCACAAACAUUUUUACUUCCCUUUAGCACCAUGCGCGCAACUUAUCUUAUCCCCGUAAAUGUUGGCAAUUUGCACUCACGUUGCUUUCACCUGUAAACAAGGAUGACAAAGCUCAGUAGGGUCGACGGCAAGUUGCCCUGGGAUCACCAUGUACGCUUCUUCUCUUAUCCCUAUAAAUGACGACCAGUUGCCAUUCAGCUUUAUAAAGGGUUGUAUUUUUAAUCAGUUCAUAAGUUAUCAUAUCUUUUCUCGUAUGUUUUAUAUUUUUUUAUUUUACUUUUAUAUUUAUCUAAAAUAUCAAUAGCCAUAUAUAGUUUUUCUAAAUUUAUUUUUAUUUUUUAGCUUUUUGGGACUUCUUAUGUUGUCUUUAGUUUUGUAAUUUUGUUCCACUUUACUAAUUUUCAUUUUAUUCUAAGAUAAUCUUUUCAUCUUUUAAUUUAGGGCAAUUUGUCGGUAAAUGUUGAGUUACUCGCUUUAGACAAGGCUGAGUCCAAAGUGAAGCAGCAAUAAUAUUUUUUUUAUGCAGCCUGAGUUGUACACACGACUCGGUAUACUCGGACUCUGUCGAGUAACUUAUCAAAGUUUGAGUGGACUCGGGUGAAUAAUGGAACCAUGACCUCAAGAAAUACCUUAAAAUCGCUUUUUAUUGAAUAAGUAUGAUUUUAAUCCCAAAUGGUGGGGAUCUAGUUCGCAGAUCGCCAAGCGGUCGCUGUUUCAGAGGUUUCUGAGCUCAUAUGGCAUCGUACAAAUGGUGGAUAAUACGAUCGGAAUUUUUUUUUGACUUGUUUGUGUGCGCACCCAGGAGAAUGUGGUGUGAAAAAGAUGUAGACCUAGAGCCAUUGAGAAGGAGAUUUAAUGAGAAAUGCUUUUUUUUUUUCUUUUGUUUUGUGAAAAAGAUGUAUACCUAGCGCCAUUGAGAAGGAGAUUUAAUGAGAAAUGCUUUUCUUUUUUUUUUCUUUUUUUUCUUUUAUUUUGGGUGAAUCAAUGGAGAUGAUAGACCCUUACGCGUUAUUGGGUGCAACACAAAAGACUUUCCAACAUAAUCACCCAUUGAGAAGGAGGUUUAAUGAGAAAUGGGUAAUGAGAGUCUCAACUGAUUCACGAUAGAAAGAGGUUUCAUGAGAAAUGGUUGAUGAGUAUCUCAAUUGAUUCAUGACAUGGAAUCAGGAGAGAUUUCAUGAAUACAUUAUUAUUAUCAUCAUCAUUAUUGUUAUCAUCAUCAUCGUAAAUCUAAAAUAUAGGAUAGUUAUCGAGUGAUUUUUAAGUGGUUCACGAAUAUUAAAAUAAAAAAUUCCCUCCAAAGUCUCUCUUGGGCCUGAGGGAUUAAGUGUAUUGUUUGCUCUUGGGUGAAUAGGUUGGGUACUUAGAUAGAAAGAGAGUUUAGAAAUUUAGAGAGGGAAAAUUGUUUCAUGCGGCCGGACUGUAUUUUUACAAUAUGCGGUCCGGAGGUAUAAAGCAUACAUCUUAAAGAUGGAUGCAAAUAGGCGGUCAAUUUAAAAAUAAUUGUAACUAACCGUCCAAAUAUUUUUUUUAAUACAAUUAUUAUUUUUAGUUUUCAAAUUUUGUUUUUUUAUAUUCAUGAUCUCCACGUUCAAUAUUACAUAAAAGUUAAGAUCAAAUUAUAUUUAAAGAAUAUAUUUAUUGUCGAGCUGCAUUUCUACAUAUGCGCGUUGGCCAUAGAAACCAUAUCAUUUAUUAGAGAGAGAGUGGUUAGAUAUGGAAAAUAGUUGGAUAUCAUAACAAGUAAAGCCUCACCUCAUAACUCAUCGAAAAUUACAAUUCAAUAGUUAGAAAGCCUUUAGAUCAAUCAUCUUGGCUUGAACGUUAUGGUUGUGAAAAAAAAAGAUUGCAAGUUUUAAAAAAUGGUGUAUAUUGUAACAAAUUACCUAAAUCGUCUAUUUCACGCUAAAAAUAAAUGUUCAUAGAUCCGUAAGAUAUGUACCAUUUUUUAAAUUUUGAAUUUCAUUAUCGGUGUUGAAAAUUGAUUGGUGAACCAUAAUAGGGAUUGCUACUGCCGAAAGUGCUUUUUAGAUGAGAUAUUGAGAUGAGGGUUUAUUUUAUUUUCAUAAAGCCCAAGCGUUAUAAAAACCUCAUCCUUUAGAUCUUAUUUUAUCGUACGCUCUAAAUCAAUGCCUAGGACCCUCAAUACUUAGUGCCCUUUUGCACCAUGUACAACAAUUCUCUUGUUCACCUUGCCCUCUUAUCACUUUCACGAGUAAAACAUAAAUAUAAAAUAUGAUUGUUGAGGAUACGUCAUUGUUUAGGUGUAAAGCGCAAAAUAAAAUUUUUUGAAAGUCAUGACACACUUUCAUCUAUUAGACUUUAGAGAAAAUUGCAGAUACCUCUCAAAGUUUAACUUUCUAGACAAUCUUCCUCCAACCAAACUUUUUUUGUCGCAAUUUUUUACCCUAAAAAAUAAUUUUCUUGCAAAUACCCCGUAAAGUCAAGAAGUCAUUUUUGUGGACAAAAAUAUCCUAUUUCAUACAAUAGUUAAAUAUUGAAAUGGACUGACAAAAAAGACCGAAACUACAUCUAUUGCUGAACCGCACAACAAAAUUGUCAGACCGCAUAAUUAUGGUGCCAAACAGAGACAAAAAAGCGUCGGACCCAUCGCUUGGUAUUACAAGACAGCUUAAAACUACUGGAUCCCUUGUAGAACAUGCUCAACUUCUAAAUUGCCGGACCAAAAUUAAAGAAUGUUGGACCCAAUAAAGCAACUGCCAGACUAACAUUGCCGAACUGGCUUUAAAAGUGCUGGACCACAGGUAAACUUUGUUGGAUGUAUUUGAAAAAAACAAAUUUCAUGGGUGAGAAAGAGGAGAGAGAGAGAGAGAGAGAAAAAGGCUUUUUAAUUUUGGAGGUUGAUGGGGGGAGCCGGGGUGGUAAUUUGAUUUUAUUUACUCUUUUUUAUGACUUGGGGGAUAUUUGUAAGAAAAUAUAUUUUGGGGUGAAAAAUGUGAAAAAAAAGCUUGGUUGGAGGAAAGUUGUCUAGAAAGUUCAACUCUGGGGGAUAUCUGUAAUUUUCUCAAGAUUUUGUAUCUAAAAAAAAUAAAUGGUCAUAUAGUAUACAAUGCCUUAAAAAAAAUAUUAUUAACAUAUGAGCUUUAUAUCAAUUAUCUAAAAUCAGCUACACAAAUCUUGUUCUAUCAUUCUUCUCUAUUAAGGGUCAUACUUUCAGUCGGUUUAUAAGUCACCAUAUCUAUUCUUAUAAGUCGGUUUAUAAGUCACCAUGUCUUAUAGAGAGAGAGAAUGAAGCCAAAGAGAGAGGAGCAACCACAUAGGGCUCUCAACAUUCCAAGCUCUAGUCUCAUGUAUAAAUAGUGACCCACUAAACAUAAUCUAAUGGGUCACUUGAGUAAAGAUGAAUCUGUGAAACUCAUGAUAUUGUUUGACAAAUUUUGUAGUCGGCUAUUUAACCUUGGCAGUCAUAUUUCUCACUCCUAGGAGAUAGUCUGAGGGAAUGAGAAGAACUCAACCUGUGUCACUCAAUUUUUUUUUUCUUGUAGAGUAUUAUAUAAGUGAACCCACUUUCUAAAGCAUUGAAUUCCUAUACAUGUACAUCAAUUUUGACACGAUUAAUGGAAGUAAAUGCUAACAUUAAAGGAAAAAAAAAAAAUCAAUUAGCAUCUAGGCCCAAUAGAUAGCCCCAAUUAGGACUGUAGAGGGUAAAUUAUAUUCCAUUUCAUACUCACUAUGCCUAAGAACCAGGAACAUUUGUUCAUAAUAUAGAUCUAUCCUCCUUGAAGCAUGUGUUCAAGAAGUGCUCUCUUUCAAUGAGCAUAUUAGUGGGUUGGAGUUGUGUUUUCAAAGGAUAUUUGGCAUGAAAUGUGUUCAAGAAUGUCCUUCUUCGCUAGAAUUGCUUGCCACUGUUAAGAUUGGAACUUCAUUCCUUUUUCUUUUCUUUUUUUUUUGGAUUUUAGAAAUAGUGGGUUUUGAAUGCGCAAGUGAGAAUGAAAACCUAGACCCGUCGAUUAAGAUUGGAACUUACCAUAAAAACGAUACAAUAGCAUUGAUUACAUAAUUACACUACUAGUUAAUUUGUGGAACUAAAUAAAUAUCAUCCAAGUCAACAUUCUUUUUGUUGCAAAGGAUCAUGCCACUAAGUGCAGAACACCAAAUCAGGUCUAGAGAGACUAACAACAAUUUACAGGAUCUUGACACAGCUUGGCUCACAUAGUUAAUCAAUGAAUAGUUCUCCCAUCUGAACGAAGGCAUUUGCGUGAAUUAAAAUAGUAUAUUGGAAUGGGUACACAAAUAGGUUAAUCUAGUGGAAUUGAAUGAAUGAACAAUCUAUUAAUAUGUUCCCUAGUCUCAGAGUCAGGUCUUGCAAAUCCAUCUCCAUUCGAGUAGGCACAAUGGGCCAUCCGUGCAAGAUUAACUACGAAAUUGACAUAGGGUUUUGGCAAGAUGGAUGGUGCAAGACACUCUGCAUUGAGGUUCUUCCAUGCAUCUCUAAUCAUCUCCUUGAUAUGUUUUUGUGCGGCUUCCUCAGAUGCCCCUGUUUCAUGCAUAUAACAUUGAAUAGAUUUUGGGACAUCCCCUCUUAGGAUGUCAUCCUGCAUCAAUCAAGUAAUAAACUUAUGUCAUCUAAAUAUUGUCCUUUAACAAAUAAUAAAAGGAAGUGCUCCCAUGAGAGCAAAUUGUAACACUUAUUCCUAGUGAAAGAAAUACCUAUGUGAUCAUUUAUCGGGAAAUAGAAUUUUUUUUUUUUUUUUUUUCUUCACCCCAUUCUUUUAGCAAAAGAUCACUUACAUGUGGUCUUUAUUAUAGUAAGAUAAAUUUCAAAACAAAAUCAACAUAACAAUAAAACCAAGAUCUUAACAACUUGAUGUCAUUGAAACAACUAUACACUAUGCUUGAGAAUAAAAGAUAAGAUUGUAACAAACAAAAGGAAGAGUGCCGGAGAUUACCUCAACCGGGCUUAUUAUACUCCACACCGAUUCACGACCAUCCGAUGGUGCGGGACCAACGGUCUGGCUUCAAUCUCGAACCGGGAAAGCAAAUUUCGGCCAAACCACAUUAAUGGAACAUGAACUUCUUUGAUUACAAACUCAAACCCUAGGUGAAUUCUCUUAGCAACCUAGUUUUUUAGAGAUAUAUUCUCUUUUUGCUAAACCCUAAAACCCUUAACCAUAAAUCCAUAUUUGAGAGAUAGGAUAGAAGAACCUAAACCCUUAGGUUCUUUCACAAUGUGGGAGAGAGAGAUCAAACAUGAGAGAGAUAAACUUUCUUAAGAGAGAGAUAUAAAGAUAAGGUGUAGAGAUUUUUUGGUAGAGACAAUCCAUUUUUAUAAGCUUUGAAUAAGAUUAGGGUUUCUUGGGGUUUUCUUUGACUUGUCUCUUCUUGAGAGCUUGAAUAUGGACCGUCGAUCAAGGGAGACUUGUGGGGUGAGAGAUUUGAGCCAUCUAUUCCAAAGAUUGGUCAUCAACAUUAUGGAAGGUGCAUGAACCAUUAUCCCCCUUUUUCUAAACCAUUUUCCUAUCAAUAGAAAUUAAAUAAAUUGAAUCUAAUCAAAAUAUUGUGCAUAUCAUAAAAUAGCUCAAGUCUAUUCAAUCUUUCCACAAAAUCUUUCAAAGAUAUAUCAAGUCAAUAGUUAGUCAAUAUCUUCCAACCAUAUGGCUACAUGUCAUAUCAACAAAAAAUACGAAAGAGAAUAAGGGUGGGUCGUGCCACCCAAGGGAGGCACUCAUGGGCCCCACCUUUUAAAAAUAUGGAGGGCCCAUGUGAACAAUGGUCCCCCAUGGUAUUUUUAUAUAUUUAAAAUUAAUAAAAAUAUUUUAGAGAAUUAUUUGAAUAUUUAAACAAUUGUAAAAUCAAUAUCUUUAAUUUUAUAAAUCCAAAAAUUAUAAAUAAAAUAUCUAAGGAUUCAUAAAAAUUCAAAUAAUAAUCUUAAAAUAGUUUUCAUCCUAAAACAAAGAUAAUUAAAUUAAUUUGAUGGGAAAAGGAUCCAUAUGGUUUAGGAAUCAACAAUCGUGAUGCACUCUUCCUUCAACUUUGGACUACAGACCACACUUGCUUUGUCAGACCGACCCAGUGCUUCCCAUGACUCACAAUCUAAGCAAGGGCUCAUUAACGGGUCACCAAAGUCCGACCGAUAAGCUAAAGGAUCUCAAUCCCAGUCUGUGGAUUUCAGGUCCUCCCCUAAAUAAAAGUCAAGGUCACCUAGACCUGAUGCGACCAUAGCUGCUAUGGUGCAUAGGGGUAUCUCUCGCACAUGCAUAUGCUUUACCCUAAAAAGUAGAUUUCUGGCUUUCCCGAAUGAUCUAUCAAUAUGCAUGCCAUGUGAUCGCACAUGGAUGAGGCUUUCGCCCCUGUCUCUGUAGGCCACCAUCACACACAAGGGUUACACAGUCCCUCGGCUCACUCAUCUGGGCAUAUUCUCCGACCAUAUCAAGGGCUAACCCAUUACAACCCUUCUCGGUUUGUUCUUUAUGCCCAGGUAACAUGGGUUUUUCCCAACCGACUGGCCUAGAUCGUCAAGCACAAUUCAGUAUCUGCAAACAUCGAUUGCUUAUUAUGGCCCACGAGGGACCACACUCCCACUGAAUUCAUGUUCCAGUAUGUCAUUUCAUUUUACAAGCACUUAUAAGGCCAUUAAAAACCACAUGAACCCAACACCUAGGGCAAAAGCCCCCACUAUGAAGGAUUUGUGUAACCCUAUAACUUUCAAAACAUGUCCUUUCAAGUCAAGGAUCAAUGUAGAAACUAAAAUUUUAUUUCAUGGUUAAAAAAUUACCCAAAUGAUUGUCUGCUCGAGUAAUGUAUGAAGACCUUUUAUUUGAUCUUGCGCUUUAGGAGCUCAAAAUCUUCUUUUUCAGUUUUUUAUGACAUUGUCUAUUUGAUUAAUCUAUUUUGUAAACUUUUAGAACAAUCCUCCUAAAUUGGUGUUUUUUCCAUAGCAGUAAUGUACAAUUUUCUCCCACACGAAUUGCAUCCAUGUGAUAAAUAAUUCAAGCAACGAAGAGUUAGCCUCACCGGACUUGUUACCAAGUCGUUGCACAGUCUAAGGACCAUUGAUGACCAAUAAAUGAGUCUUGAUUCAGUGGUAAUGUAAUCUAUUGCCUCUUGUGUGAUGCUUUGUGCAAUGAGGAAGUAUGCAUGAAUCAAGAUAACUGGCACUGAACUUGAAACCCAUGAGUUAUUUAAGUAUUCUUCUAAGGUUGGUUUGUGCCCCAUGCUAAACCACUUUGCCUCCAACUAGUCCGCUUUCCAUAAUCCUGCCCACUGAAGUUAAAAAUUAACACAAGUUAUUAUAGCAAGAAUACAAUGUUCUUAAAGUAAUUCAAACAUCACAACAGGAUAUUAUGUUACCAUAUCUUUAAGGUAGUUUGUGAUAUUCCAUCCUUUCUCCUUGAGAAUAUCGUAUGAAAUCAUGUUUGUUGUGUUGUACAAUGCCAAAUAACAUAUUUUCAUGUAAUCUGGAAGGUUCUCCAUGGCGUUCAAAUCCCACCUAAAUUUGAAUUGUUAUAUUGUAAGAAUUAAAUUGUGGAGCACAAACAUAUGUGAUAGAUAUAUAUUACUUCAUUGGGAAGGAAAAUUCAUUCUUUUGUACCUUUGGACAGCUUCAGUGAAAAGUUCCAGUUCAUCUAACGAGCCAUACACAUCAUAAACAUCAUCAAUCGCUGUAAUUAAGCAAUGGACUUUGAUGAGGGCUUCCCUAGUCCUUGAAAAUUGGGGCUCGAAUAAAUACCCAAUGUUCCAUAAACAGUUUUCAACGAUCCGAUCCCGAGCAAAUGGUAGCUUAGUUGCGAACCCCAUAUCAUUAUACCACCUAGGUAUAAACUUUUAAUACUAAGAAUUAAGCUGAUUGAUAAGUAAAAACGAAUUCAAGAGUAGAUUGGGGUAGGUCCAUGAAUGCAAAGAACAAGCUUACCUUGACAUACGCCUGAGAUCGGCUUGGUGCGUGCACUGUACUGAGUUGAAGUCCAAUUUAGCAAAUUCAAGCAAAGAGGGGAUCAUGUCUUUCUCUUUCUCAUAGACUUGAAUGUAAUCCCUAGCUUCUAGCCUGAGCAUUCUCCAAUGCAAAGGCAGCUCUAAAGCUUGUUGUGCUUUUUGAGAAAGACUUGGCUCUAAUCGAUCAGUUAAGUCCAUGAGGUUCUUACUGGUAAAUGUGAAUGCUUUAUCCAAAAUAUCUUCUCCAGGAACAGAUAGGUGGCAUGCUUCAUACAAACUCAACAUUCCUUUGGCGUCUCCAAUCAAACUUACUUUGAAACUACCUUUCUCGUCCAUGAAUCUGCAAAAUACAUCUGGGAGCACAAAUUUAUCUAUAUUAAAUCUUCUACAAAAGUGUCUUUCAUAUGCUUUCCAAAUUCAGUUCAAUUCCUCUUCUUCCACCAAGAGAGCCACUAGGAAAUCAUAUCUGAUCCACUUAUGACAUUUGAAAAAUGUAGGUAAAUGAUAGCCCUGUGAGAACCAAUUCUACAUUUGGUUCUAGAGAAAAAAUACGUACUUAGGAGGAAUUUUAUGACUUGGACUUUUCCAAAAUCAUUUUUUAUUCACCUUAUGAGUAUUUUUUUUUGGGCGAAAAGAUUGAUUUUGAUCUCUUAAACCUCUAGUGUGCUUAUCCCUUGAAUGGACAGCCCAAAGUCCAUCUUGGAGGAGGAGUUAAACCUUAGAGAAGAACAAAGAAAAUAUGAGCAUCAUAGUAACCAUGAAAUCUUUUUCCUUUAGAAAAUGUCUUUCUUAAUAAUGUAAACAACAAAUUCAGUCCAAAUAAUUCCGCGAUUUGGUAUGUGAUUCAUAAAUACCUUUCGAAAAUCCAACCUAUUUCAAAAACUGUUCAAGUUGGUCCAUUUUACAUAAAAUUUUAUUUUGUUUUGGAUUUAAAUUCCAACCAUAUUUGUUACCCUUAUUUACUAAUAGCUUUUGCUUGAGCUCAUAUAUAAAGUUUCAAUAGAUACUCUAAUUUCUAGAAGAAAAGAGGGAGAGGGAAGUCAGGCCCUAACCUAUAUGAAUACAAUUUUGUGCUACAAAC